AUGAACGCUAGCGACAGGCUUAACACAUGCAAGUCAGGGGCAGCACAAGGAGCAAUCUGAGGUGGCGACCGGCGCACGGGUGAGUAACACGUAUGCAACCUGCCUGUAAGCGGGGAAUAACCCGUUGAAAGACGGACUAAUACCGCAUAAUACUAAAUUACUGCAUGGUAAUUAUUUAAACAUUUAUGGCUUACAGAUGGGCAUGCGCAUGAUUAGCUAGUUGGAGAGGUAACGGCUCCCCAAGGCAACGAUCAUUAGGGGUUCUGAGAGGAAGGUCCCCCACACUGGUACUGAGACACGGACCAGACUCCUACGGGAGGCAGCAGUGAGGAAUAUUGGUCAAUGGACGAGAGUCUGAACCAGCCAAGUCGCGUGCAGGAAGAAUGUCCCUAUGGAUUGUAAACUGCUUUUGCAGGGGAAUAAAGUGCAUCACGUGUGAUGUUUUGUAUGUACUCUGCGAAUAAGGAUCGGCUAACUCCGUGCCAGCCGCUGC
rnacentral:rRNA from 1 species